rnacentral:rRNA from 1 species
GACGAACGCUGGCGGCGUGCUUAACACAUGCAAGUCGAACGGAAAGGCCCUGCUUUUGUGGGGUGCUCGAGUGGCGAACGGGUGAGUAACACGUGAGUAACACGCCCUUGACUUUGUGAUAACUUCAGGAAACUGGGGCUAAUACCGGAUAGGAGCUCCUGCUGCAUGGGGGGGGUUGGAAAGUUUCGGCGGUGGGGGAUGGACUCGCGGGUUAUCAGCUUGUUGGUGGGGUAGUGGCUUACCAAGGCUUUGACGGGUAGCCCGCCUGAGAGGGUUACCGGCCACCAUGGGACUGAGAUACGGACCAGAAGCGUACGGGCGGCAGCAGUGGAGAGUAUUGCGCAGUGGGCGGAAGCCUGAUGCAGCAACGUCGCGUGCGGGAUGACGGGUUUCGAGUUGUAAACCGCUUUCGCAGGUGACGAAGAGUGAGUGACGGUAAUGGGUCAAGAAGCACCGGCUAACUACGUG